UGAUGACAAAUCUCCGGAAUCGCUGGAUGUGCAUGAUGAAAAAUUUGAACCCUUUUUCUGAUGACUGCUGUUAAAAAAAC